AUGAUUUCACACAUCCAGCUGAUCUGGCCCCUGGCAUUCUGUGUCGCAGGUAUCAGUGGGGACAUCAUCAUGACUCAGUCUCCCCCGGUGCUGUCAGUGGGACUGGGCCAGACCGCAACACUCACCUGUACGGCCAGUCAAUCUGUUAGCAAUGAGCUUUCCUGGUACCAGCAGCGAGAAGGUCAGAAACCCUCUCUCCUGAUCUAUGCUGCAACAAAUCGAUUCACAGGAGUCUCCGAUCGAUUCACCGGCAGUGGAUCAGGGACCAGUUUCACCCUGAAAAUCAGCAACGUUCAGAAUGAGGAUGUCGCUGACUAUUACUGUAUGCAGGAUUACAGCUCCCCUCGACACAGGCUUACGUUCGGUAAAGGAACCAAGCUCAGACUGAUCCGUGACAACUCUCAGCCCAAGCUGACCCUGCUGCCCCCCUCCCCGGAGCAGGUCAAUGCCAAGGGCACUGCCACCCUGGUGUGCCUUGCCAAUCACUUCUAUCCCGAUGAGCUGGAGGUGCAGUGGAAGAAGGACGGUGCAGUCAUUUCGGACGGGGUUCAGACCAGCAACUACCUGCGAGCUUCGGACAGCACCUACAGUGUCAGCAGCCUGCUGACCCUCUCUGGGUCUGACUGGGAGUCCAACGCUCGCUUCUCCUGUGCCCUCACCCACGUGACCCUCCCCUCUCCCCUCAGCAAGAGCAUCAGGAGAUCAGCCCCUGGACCAUCUCAGUGA